rnacentral:rRNA from 1 species
CACUAUCGUUAACUGAAUACAUAGGUUAACGAGGCGAACCGGGGGAACUGAAACAUCUAAGUACCCCGAGGAAAAGAAAUCAACCGAGAUUCCCCCAGUAGCGGCGAGCGAACGGGGAGCAGCCCAGAGUCUGAAUCAGCUUGUGUGUUAGUGGAACGGUCUGGAAAGUCCGACGGUACAGGGUGAUAGUCCCGUACACCAAAAUGCACAGGUUGUGAACUCGAAGAGUAGGGCGGGACACGUGGUAUCCUGUCUGAAUAUGGGGGGACCAUCCUCCAAGGCUAAAUACUCCUGACUGACCGAUAGUGAACCAGUACCGUGAGGGAAAGGCGAAAAGAACCCCGGCGAGGGGAGUGAAAAAGAACCUGAAACCGUGUACGUACAAGCAGUGGGAGCACCUUUAUGGUGUGACUGCGUACCUUUUGUAUAAUGGGUCAGCGACUUAUAUUCUGUAGCAAGGUUAACCGUAUAGGGGAGCCGCAGGGAAACCGAGUCUUAACUGGGCGUUAAGUUGCAGGGUAUAGACCCGAAACCCGGUGAUCUAGCCAUGGGCAGGUUGAAGGUUGGGUAACACUAACUGGAGGACCGAACCGACUAAUGUUGAAAAAUUAGCGGAUGACUUGUGGCUGGGGGUGAAAGGCCAAUCAAACCGGGAGAUAGCUGGUUCUCCCCGAAAGCUAUUUAGGUAGCGCCUCGUGAACUCAUCUUCGGGGGUAGAGCACUGUUUCGGCUAGGGGGUCAUCCCGACUUACCAACCCGAUGCAAACUACGAAUACCGAAGAAUGUUAUCACGGGAGACACACGGCGGGUGCUAACGUCCGUCGUGAAGAGGGAAACAACCCAGACCGCCAGCUAAGGUCCCAAAGUCAUGGUUAAGUGGGAAACGAUGUGGGAAGGCACAGACAGCCAGGAUGUUGGCUUAGAAGCAGCCAUCAUUUAAAGAAAGCGUAAUAGCUCACUGGUCGAGUCGGCCUGCGCGGAAGAUGUAACGGGGCUAAACCAUGCACCGAAGCUGCGGCAGCGACACGAUGUGUUGUUGGGUAGGGGAGCGUUCUGUAAGCCUGCGAAGGUGGCCUGUGAGGGUUGCUGGAGGUAUCAGAAGUGCGAAUGCUGACAUAAGUAACGAUAAAGCGGGUGAAAAGCCCGCUCGCCGGAAGACCAAGGGUUCCUGUCCAACGUUAAUCGGGGCAGGGUGAGUCGACCCCUAAGGCGAGGCCGAAAGGCGUAGUCGAUGGGAAACAGGUUAAUAUUCCUGUACUUGGUGUUACUGCGAAGGGGGGACGGAGAAGGCUAUGUUAGCCGGGCGACGGUUGUCCCGGUUUAAGCAUGUAGGCUGGUUAUCCAGGCAAAUCCGGAUAAUCAAGGCUGAGGUGUGAUGACGAGGCACUACGGUGCUGAAGUAACAAAUGCCCUGCUUCCAGGAAAAGCCUCUAAGCAUCAGGUAACAUCAAAUCGUACCCCAAACCGACACAGGUGGUCAGGUAGAGAAUACCAAGGCGCUUGAGAGAACUCGGGUGAAGGAACUAGGCAAAAUGGUGCCGUAACUUCGGGAGAAGGCACGCUGGUGUGUAGGUGAAGUCCCUGCGGAUGGAGCUGAGACCAGUCGAAGAUACCAGCUGGCUGCAACUGUUUAUUAAAAACACAGCACUGUGCAAACACGAAAGUGGACGUAUACGGUGUGACGCCUGCCCGGUGCCGGAAGGUUAAUUGAUGGGGUUAUCCGUAAGGAGAAGCUCUUGAUCGAAGCCCCGGUAAACGGCGGCCGUAACUAUAACGGUCCUAAGGUAGCGAAAUUCCUUGUCGGGUAAGUUCCGACCUGCACGAAUGGCGUAAUGAUGGCCAGGCUGUCUCCACCCGAGACUCAGUGAAAUUGAACUCGCUGUGAAGAUGCAGUGUACCCGCGGCAAGACGGAAAGACCCCGUGAACCUUUACUAUAGCUUGACACUGAACAUUGAGCCUUGAUGUGUAGGAUAGGUGGGAGGCUUUGAAGCGUGGACGCCAGUCUGCGUGGAGCCAACCUUGAAAUACCACCCUUUAAUGUUUGAUGUUCUAACGUUGGCCCCUUAUCGGGGUUGCGGACAGUGUCUGGUGGGUAGUUUGACUGGGGCGGUCUCCUCCCAAAGCGUAACGGAGGAGCACGAAGGUUAGCUAAUCCUGGUCGGACAUCAGGAGGUUAGUGCAAUGGCAUAAGCUAGCUUGACUGCGAGCGUGACGGCGCGAGCAGGUGCGAAAGCAGGUCAUAGUGAUCCGGUGGUUCUGAAUGGAAGGGCCAUCGCUCAACGGAUAAAAGGUACUCCGGGGAUAACAGGCUGAUACCGCCCAAGAGUUCAUAUCGACGGCGGUGUUUGGCACCUCGAUGUCGGCUCAUCACAUCCUGGGGCUGAAGUAGGUCCCAAGGGUAUGGCUGUUCGCCAUUUAAAGUGGUACGCGAGCUGGGUUUAGAACGUCGUGAGACAGUUCGGUCCCUAUCUGCCGUGGGCGCUGGAGAAUUGAGGGGGGCUGCUCCUAGUACGAGAGGACCGGAGUGGACGCAUCACUGGUGUUCGGGUUGUCAUGCCAAUGGCACUGCCCGGUAGCUAAAUGCGGAAGAGAUAAGUGCUGAAAGCAUCUAAGCACGAAACUUGCCCCGAGAUGAGUUCUCCCUGAGACUUUAAGUCUCCUGAAGGAACGUUAAAGACGAUGACGUUGAUAGGCCGGGUGUGUAAGCGCAGCGAUGCGUUGAGCUAACCGGUACUAAUGAACCGUGAGGCUUAACCUU